rnacentral:rRNA from 1 species
GACGAACGCUGGCGGCGUGCCUAACACAUGCAAGUCGAACGGAACGUCCCUGCUUUUGUGCGCUGCUCGGGGGGCGACCGGGUGAGUAACCCGUAGGUAACCUGCCCCUGACAGUGGGUUAACUUCAGGCCACUGGGGCUAUUACGAGCUAGGAGUUCCUGCCGCUUGAUGGGCGUUGGAAAGAUUCGGCGGUUGGGGGUGGAAUCGCGUCUUAUGAGCUCGUUGGGUGGGUAGUGGGUGACCAUGGCUAUGACGGGUUGCAUGCCUGGGAGGAGCACCGGCCAAAUUGGGACUGAGAUACGACCCAGACUCCUACGGGAGGCAGCGGUGGGGAAUGGUGCACAGGAGGCGGAAGCCUGAUGCAGCAACGCAGCGUGCGGGAUGACGGCCAGCGGUUUGUAAACCGCUGUCGCCUUUGACGAAGCGUGAGUGACGGUAAUGGGUAAAGAAGCACCGGCUAACUACGUG